AGCCGGUUCUGACGCCUGAACUGACUGCCCCAUCAAAAGCCAGCACAGGGGAGAGCUGGUGAAAGUCUGGAUUUAAAACGUUUUGAACUUGCCAGAAUGGCACGUGCCUAGCCCGGAGGAGGAGGAAGAGGAGGAGGAGGAGGAGGAGGACUCUGAAAAAUCCAAGUAUUGAUUUUCAUUUCACAUGCGACACACUCCACUCCAAUUUCCCCUAAAUCGGGAAGCUAAUUUCUCUGUAACCUCAAAUGAGCUUGAGCUGCCUCUUUAGAGAACAGAAAGAACAAUAUCCCCUUUUAAAGAGAAGCCGCUCCUGCUGCGGUGUAGGGGCCACCCGUCUGCUCUAUGGUCCGAGGACAGAGGCUGGCGAGGCUUUAAGACAUCUCUGCACCUUGGCAUCACCGUUUCUGAGUCCACGCCGCAUUUGCCAGAAUGGCUGCUGAGACGCAAAUCUAUCCCGUCAGUGAGACAAGUGUGGGCAAGAGUUUUAAAUUCUGCACAGCCUAGUGAAUGGGGCAAUCCCGGGAGCCAUCAUCACAAUCGUGAUCCGGAAUAGAACCCAACAGUGUACGGACACAACCCUCCCUGCACUCCCAUGCUUAAACAGUUUCAACAAUCGGA